rnacentral:rRNA from 1 species
GUCUCUACGAAAAAUAAUAUACAGUCUAGCCUGCCCAGUGAAUAACUUAAAUGGCCGCGGUAUCCUGACCGUGCAAAGGUAGCAUAAUAAUUAGUUUUUUAAUUGAAAGCUUGCAUGAAUGGCUGGACAAAGAAAAAUCUGUUUCUACUUUUUUUUUAAAAUUUUACUUUUAGGUGAAAAGGCCUAAAUAAACUUAAUAGACGAUAAGACCCUAUAAAUCUUUAUAUGAUCUUUUCUUAUGAGUAAUUAUUUGAGUUUAUUUUUUAUAAAAAAAAGAUAUAUUUUGUUGGGGCGACAAGAAUACUAAAACUGUUCUAAUUUUCAAACAAAAAUUUUUGUCUAUAGUAGAUCCUUCACUGAAGAUUAAAAAUUUAAGUUACUUUAGGGAUAACAGCGUAAUUUUUUUUUGAGAGUUCAUAUCGACAAAAAAGUUUGCGACCUCGAUGUUGAAUUAAAGUUUCUUUAUAAUGCAGCAGUUAUAAAAGUAAGUCUGUUCGACUUUUAAAACUUU